GUACGGAAGGCAGCAGUAAGGAAUAUUGGUCAAUGGGCGCAAGCCUGAACCAGCCAUGCCGCGUGCAGGACGAAGGCCUUAAUGGUUGUAAACUGCUUUUGUAUAGGAAAAAUAAGCCCCUGCGGGAGCUAAUGAUGGUACUAUAAGAAUAAGCACCGGCUAACUCCGUGCCAGCAGCCGCGGUAAUACGGAGGGUGCAAGCGUUAUCCGGAUUUAUUGGGUUUAAAGGGUACGUAGGCGGUCUUUUAAGUCAGUGGUGAAAGCUAGCAGCUUAACUGCUAAAUUGCCAAUGAUACUGGGAGGCUUGAGUAUAGUUGAGGUGGGUGGAAUUUCACAUGUAGUAGUGAAAUGCUUAGAUAUGUGAAGGAACUCCAAUAACGAAGGUAGCUCACUAAACUAUAACUGACGCUGAGGUACGAAAGCGUGGGGAGCAAACAGGAUUAGAUACCCCGGU
rnacentral:rRNA from 1 species